UACGUAGGGGCCGAGCGUUGUCCGGAGUUAUUGGGCGUAAAGCGCGCGCAGGCGGCCUCGCGCGCCCGACGUGAAAGCCCCCGGCUUAACCGGGGAGGGUCGUUGGGGACGGCGGGGCUGGAGGGCGGGAGAGGUCGGUGGAAUUCCCGGUGUAGUGGUGAAAUGCGUAGAGAUCGGGAGGAACACCUGUGGCGAAGGCGGCCGACUGGGCCGACCCUGACGCUGAGGCGCGAAGGCGUGGGGAGCGAACGGG
rnacentral:rRNA from 1 species